AACGUGGAGCUUUGCUUUUUUGUGCCCUUUUUUUCCCCCCUCAGCAUGCAGGAGCCUGAUCUGUGACUUUAUUUGCUUCUUUUUCAGUGGUUAGCCACAGUUCAAUAUGCAGUCACAAACCCCUAAUAGCAACAGGACUGCAUGUGCUGAGUCCAUCUGUAAAUGCUGGCACAUGUAUCAAUACAGGUUGCCAGAUAACACAUGAGAUGACUUCCACAGGAGCUUUGAGCCUUAAAGUCUACUUAAUUAUGAAUGAUCCCAUAUUAUGUCUUUGUGCAAUGGGAGGAAAAGCUGUUCAGACAGGCGAUUUGCCACAGGAUUUCCAGGCCCCUAAGACCCAUCAGAAAAUGAAGAGCAGCAAAGACUUACCCUCAGUAAAGCAGGAUCAAGUUGGGAGAGGGGAAGUUCCUGAGAACUCGGAAAAGCAAUUACCAGUCCUGUCUUUGAGAAGAGCAAGAAGGAGGGAGGAUCUGGGCCUGUCAGUUUCACUUCAAUGCCUGGGAAGGUCAUGGAGCAAAUAAUCCUGUAAACCAUUUCCAAAUGGAUGAAGGACAAGAAGGUGACUGACAGUAGUUGUCAUGAGUUUAUGAAGAUAAAAUCAGCUCACCUGAUUACCUUCUAAGAUGAAAUAACUAAGAUGAGGAGAGAGUAAUGCAUGUUGUUUAUUUUGACUUUGGCAAGGCUUUUGACAGACUCUGAAUGACAUUUUUGUAGGCAAACCCAUGAAGUUUUGUGGACUAGCUAAAAGGACAAUGGAAUGGACUGAAAACUGACUGAACUUCUGGGCUCAAAGGAUUGUGAUCAGUGACACAAAGUCCAGCUGGAGGCCAGCUAUUUGUGGUGUACCAGGUUAAUUGUAUAUGGCAUUAAAAAUACCUCUUAUCAA